UUGUGUCUCAGUGUACAUUUCCGUAUCUUCAAGACUAGAAAAAUUAAUCGCUUUAAAAAAAUUGAAUUAGAAUGCCAAUUACCAGAGUGUCUUACUCACAGUGGGAACCGCGCUGACGUCCAAUUGUACCCCAACGACCUGCAGAUAGUACCCAUGACCAUAAAUGAUCCAGCAAAUACUCAGGUAACGCAAGCCAUCCAAACAAGUCACAGUAUCCCCAUUAUUAAUGGUAUUUAAUAGACUCAAUCCAUUAGUAUAAAGUGAGAAUGAAGUCAAUAGCAAGUGUCUAGUGUCUGAAAUUAUAAAAAUAAACCAUUGACGUUGAGAACCUUGCCAUUUUGCACGACUCCAUUGGCACUUGGAAAUCAAUUCUCAAGUGAUGGUAUUUUGCAUUACCUUUUGGAUCCGGUUUUUCUGUGUCAGUUCUCUUAACCAGGUCGUACGUAGUGCUGACUAAGACGAUGAUGGCAAACAGGAACAGGAGUGAUCUAUACCGAGAUAAAUGUCAAUAUUUGAGUCCAUCAUUAACAUCAACAUACGCGCUAUGCAAUGACCGGUCAUUUAAUUAUGGAAAAAAAAUCUGGAUAAAAUAAUUCGGUGAAAUAAUCCCAUUCAAAUUGAUCCUGAUACCAGAUAAUCCUGUAAAAUAUGUCAAAUUACCGACUAAUUAUUAUUUUCCUAAUUUCUAAACUUCCCUUUUUAUUCUUUUUAAGUCAACGCAUAUUAAUUUCUACAAAAAAAAUGUCUGAAACAUUAUCUUCGCGUAAUUUUUCCGCGGAAACUUAAUUUGCAGAACAGAAAUCAAUUUUUUUCUAUGAAUCACUCCCUUAAAAUAAUUUCCACAGAACUUCUUAUUUAUUUGCUCAUUAAAAACACAUCAAAUGUUCCUCAUCCCCUACCAGGGAACCCAAACUAAAAUUUAUAAAAACACUAAUUAAAUAUCCGAAUAAUGAUAAAAGCAUUAUCAUUUCUAUCAAGAUCAAAUUUCCCAGGACCUACUACACCCCAAUAACUCCGAUCUAUUUCUUCCAGAUCGAUUACCCACGAUUAAAUGACCCGUAAUCGCUCUGUGCCUGUACCAUCAUAAUUUUGGAUUGUUUUUUAUAAGAGUACAUGUAAAUCCAAUCAGCAAGAAGGAGCACAGGACGAUCGUCGUCAAGCGUGUGACAGGGAUCGACGGAGACCGUAAAAUUCACUCGAUUUUCCGAUAUCAGUGGCUCCAACGACACCUCCAAGGCCCUCUCCACGUCGCCACUCUCGCAGGAUGACGGAACACACCACAGCCACUCGUACGGAACAGUAGCUCCUGAUUUCCAGUUUUUCACAUCCUAAAAUAGUCGCGAAUAUGCCAAGGCCACACUCUCCAGUAGAUCACCGAGAUCUGGAAUGGCACUCGUCGUAAUUACCGAGCUGCUUGUAAUUACCGGUUAUUACGCCAGACGGUAUCUUGGCUGACGCAUCGUACACUGAAAGAUAAAAAUAGUAAGGGGAGAUGAUUGCUGCUGAGUUUGAGGUGACUUGCGAGUGAUUAAAAAAUGGCGAAUAAUUAUAUUAGGAAUUUUUUGAGACGUGGAAAGGGCCACAACGAAUUGAGUGUUAAAAUUUUUUUCACAUAUUUUUUCAAAGGACUUUAGACUUCUUUUUAAGAGAAAGGUCAAGACAUUUGUAUUUUCCCAUUUGCGACAGAUCCAAACAUGUCAAUUUCCCAAUAGAAUUUUUUUGAUUUUGCAAUAAUUUUCCAAGAAAAAUUGGCCGAAAAGUCUUUUGAUGAACAAAUGCGAUUUUAACGUAAAUUAUUACAUUAAAAUUACGUUUGACAGAUAAUUUCUUCGGACAUUAAUUAACAGUUGUGAUGGUCUCAUCGGGGCCCUUCCAUCAGCCAGGGGGUGGGUUUAACACCCGAUCCAGCACGACGGUGAGAGACCGGCAUCGCUCCCUAACACUUCCCCUUCAUCGGUGUUUUUCGUGUGUUACGUCACAGGUGUAGUGGGAGGAAGGUUCCCCUCCGGUCGCUGGGGGCCCAGCGAGCCAGAGAUAUGGAGAACUAGGGGCCCAGGGUGUGUAAUUACGGAGAGCCCCAGCAUACAAUCCCGCAUCCUUCCAACACUGAUGAGAAGUUUUAUCACUAGGAAAUCCCAGGGGUUCGGUAAUCACCCUCAGAAGAG